UCCAGGAUGUCAUGUAGUUGGAGUCAUACAGCAUAAACUCUUUCCAUAUUGGCUUCUUUCACGCGGCAAAUGGGUCAAAUUUCUUCCUUGUCUGUUUGUGGCUUCAUAGCUCAUUUCUUUUGAUCUCUGUAAAUAUCACACUGUCUGGAUGGACCAGUGUCUUUAUCCACUCACCUAUUGGAAGGCAUCUGAACUUUGACAAUUGUUCCCUACCGGGUCUUCUCAUGGUCGGUGGCGGACAGUGGGUGUAACCACGGAGGAGGCCGUGCAGUGCUCGCCUCGGAUCCUUGGCGGCCGGCCUCCGGGGCACUGACCAGCUCGUGUGAAGGGAACCCUCUGGGUGGUCUACUGCUUAGGAUGGCCGCUGGCACACUCUUCAGGCAAUAACUUGGGAAAAUGCCAACGUUCGAGAACUCGAUACAGAACUCUAAGUCUCGGUGAUGUUUUGCCUGUCUACUUGAGCUGGAAUAUCUGACCGUAUUACAGUCUACACUCAGCAUGUGACAAACCGUUUCCAAAUCCUCUAACAACAGGCUUCUAAUUCCGGAUGCCACGGGAUAAAUACUCCAGAUCUUUGACAUUGAAGGAGAAAGCUUUCAGUAAUUUUAAGUCCAGGGAUGAUGAAUGUCAGAAGUGUAAUUUCUAAACUUGGUAGUGGUGCUUUUACUAAAUUCAAUUCACACCGUGAAUGUCCUUCAAAGAACAUGCAAAAAAAAAAUGCUUUUUAAUUCAAUUAUUGUUUAUGACUAAAACCUAAGUUUCAACAGAAAUUCAGCUAAACUUUGAAACUCAGAGUUAAAAGAUUAAGAAAAUGUUCUGCUCUUGUGUAUGGAUAGAUGAUAAUGUUGUAGACCAAUAGCGUUUGCCGUUUGUGACCAAAUAGUGGUAAAAAGUAAGACCAUGAAUUACUGGGCUUUUGAUUAGCAUUAAAAUUCUGAAAAUUUAAAAAAAAAAAAAAGGUGAGAGGGAGAAAGAAUGAAAAAAAUGAAAGGAAGGGAAAGAGAAAGAGAGAAGAGGAAAGAAGGGAAGGAAAUCGGAAUUUGGAAGUUCCCUCGAGUGGUCUCACUCUCUCACGUCCCCCCGUGAUGCAGGGUGACGGUUUGGGCGGCUGGGGCCCCUCGCCAGCACUUGGCCCCUUCAUUUCAGCCCUUCUGCCACCUGUGUUGUUCGUGGUAAUGGUUUUAACUUGCGUUUUCCUAGUGAGUAAAGAGGUUAAACAUCGUUUCCGGUACUUCUCAGUCGCAGGUGUAUCUUCUUUAGUGAAACGUCUGUUCGAAUGUUACGCUCAUUUAAAAAUACGGCCUUCAACUGCCAGCUCCCAAAUGGGGUGUGACUUCUGCCGAGACUGUUUCUCCUCGAGUCAUACUGGAGCCACACUCUCUGAGCAGACUGGAGGUCCCUCUGCCCUCGUAAUUUUCCAUGACGCAAACAUCCCAUUGUAUUCUCAUGGUACGUCUGUCUCCACACUAGACCGCAGGUCUCCUGAGGACAAAACUGCGUUCUGCCUUUGACCUCUGUCAUCUGAUGCGAGCCUGACCACAGUGGGCCACGUAUCGGGUGACCUGCCCCUGUGCUACUCCCCUGGGUACCAGGGCUCGGGGGGAUAUAGUGUUGAUCCUGUUAAACUGCCCCACCCAGUCUGCAGGAACUGUCAUUGAACUGAACUCCCUAUGUGACCCCCAGCCCCAGAAUAAUAACUGAUGACAGGAAAGAAUAUGGUAAGACUCUCGGUCCUAAGGACACAGUGGCAGCCACAGGUGCCUGCGUGGGGCACUCCAGGGCCCCACCCUGAUUCACAACACAUUUUCUCCCUUCCGAUUUACAUACUUUCCUCACAGUCUAGGCUCCACAGCCUUCUCUAUAUUCUUUUUAUUUUCGUUAAGAAAUAAACAAUACAUAAAACUACAAAGUAUAACAUAGCCACCCAGUAUAAAUAGUAACAUCCAAAAACCCAGAUCUGAUCUAUUUGCUUCAGAUUUCUCAAACAAGAAGAAAUGCCCAUCACGGACCGUGACAAUCACCUAGAUUCCCUCUUCAGUCCCCUCAUCUUCAAGGACAACCACAGUCAUGGGCUUAAUGAGUCUCCAAUCCAUAUUUUCAUACUUUUACGACACUCGCUCUCUGCAUGUGGUGUUGGUAGUGUUGCUUUGGGUUUCCUCACGACGGCAAACCCUGUGUUCUUCUCCAGUGAACUGUUCUCCCUCUUGCUUCCUUCCUUCACCAGGAAGGUCUUCGGUUCUGGUGAGCCCACCCUGUCUCGAGGGUCACCUCGAAGCAAACUCUGAUGAGCUUUUGUGGAGAGAAGUGUCUGAAAUCACCCAGGCCAAAGAAAUGCUGGGAAGGGUGCCGUUCUGUGACACCCACCGGUCUCAUGUCGGGCUCCCACGCCAUCUCGUGUUUCUUGCUUCUUGGCCUUUUGUGAUUAUUUUCUAGGACAGACUUGAUUUCACCUUCUAUCUCUUCUACCACAUUUUUCUUCUCUCAUUUCCGGGAGUCACUGUCCUUGGAUAAUUUUGCUUUCAUGGCGUCCUGUUGUUAAUGCGGGUAUAAUAAACUUAUAUUUUUAAAAACCGCUUCAUUGAGGUGUAAUGGACGUUCAAUGAACCGCAUGUAUUUAUAAAGCGUAUAACAUGAUGCAUACAGAUGUGAAACCAUCGCACAAGCAAGAUAAGGAGCAUCAACCCCGAAUGUGUUCUCUGGUCCUUUUGUAAAGCCCCCACCCGAGCCCCCACCCGCAGGCAAACGCUUCCCGUACCUAAUACAGCAUGCGUCCUUUUUUGUCUCGCCCCUUUCCGUCAGCAUGGUGACACUGAGACAUUAUUUUCCUGCCACUGUUCAUAGUUUCUUCCUCUCUUCCUGCACAGUAGUAUUCCAUCGUAUGGAUAUACCACAAUACAGUUAGUCAUUCACCUGCCUACAGAUAAUUGGGUUGUUUCCAGUUUGGGGCUGUUGCAAAUAAAGCUGCUAUGAUCAUUCAUGUAAAUGUCUCUGUAUAUAUUAUACGCUUUCAUUUCUCUUGGGCAAUUACCUAGGAGUGAAAUAUUUGGGUCGUAUAGCAAGUGUAUGUCUAACUUUUAAAGAAACUGCCAGAGUGUUUUCACCAUCUCACAUUCCCACCAGCGAGUGUGUGUGAGUUUCAGAGUCUCUGCUUCCUCACCAAGCCUUCGUUGGUCGUUUUCUUCGAUUUCAGUUAUUCUAAGGGACGGGGAGUGUGGUGUGAUUGGCGUUUCCCUAAUGACUAGAGGUGGUAAGCGUCUUUGCACCUACUUACUGGCCUGCCGUCUGUACGUGUUCUUUGAUGAAGAGUCUGUUCAAAUCUUUUGCCCGUGGUAAAGAUUGUUCUGAAGUUUUUAUUGUUGAAAUUUGAGAGUUCUUUGUGUAUUUGGAUGCAGAACUCUUAUCAGACACGCGAUUUGUCAGUCACACCAGCAGUCCAUUCCUGAACAUUGCUGGGUCACAUUCCAGGGCACCGCGUCCCUCUGGCCACUCACCUGCCGAGGCCCAGUAUCCCCUGAUGUUACAAUUUGUUUCUAAAACAUUUCCCUUUUGCUUCUGGAAUGAUGUUUUCUUCAGAGGCAUUUGCUUUUCUUCCACGAUGUAACCUUUUCUCAGUAUCUGGUGAUCCCUGACCAUCAGUGCACAUUUCUGAAAAAGUUCCAGAAGAGCUGAGUGGGAGCCUGUGAUUGCGGGGACCACACCUCCUGGGGCUCUCCUGCAACACGAGGCAGAAGGUGGCUGGCUACUACACUGGAAGCAAGCGACAGCAGAAACAACAGCCUCAAGUACCGCUAAACAAGAACGUGACAGGUUUGCGGAUGGUGGGACGGUGACGCUCCAGAACCGGAGCUCAACCGGAGAGAAUGGCAGGGAUGCACAAAAUGCCCCCAGAGGCUGGGCUGACAGGACAAACACGUGAACACCGAUGGUGCUCAUUUACCCUCGUUACAAAACGUGCUUGGGGACGCACUGUCAUCCACAAUGAGCAAACCGUCAGAUACCGAAGAACUACCUGAACAGGCAGGCACGGCAUUUACAGAGUGUCCCUCAGCUCCGCCGAGGACCGGAGACGCGUCA